rnacentral:rRNA from 1 species
AUAGCGGGAAGCUUGCUUCCGGCUAAAGUUAGUGGCGGACGGGUGAGUAACGCGUGAGCAACCUGCCUGUAAGAGGGGAAUAACGUUUGGAAACGAACGCUAAUACCGCAUAAAGCACAGAUAUCGCAUGGUGACUGUGCCAAAGAGAAUCGCUUACAGAUGGGCUCGCGUCCGAUUAGGCAGUUGGUGAGGUAACGGCUCACCAAACCGACGAUCGGUAGCCGGACUGAGAGGUUGAACGGCCACAUUGGAACUGAGAAACGGUCCAGACUCC